CCACCGGCCACUCAUGUCCUGUCCAGGUGUUCUUCGUUGUUCCCUGAUUUGCUUCAGUCCAUGGCUGAGCUCGGAUGCUCAUUGAGAUGCAGUCUGCAACACCGCUGGAGCACAACAGAGUUUCUCCUGACUGCCGGAGUGACCUCCAAGUACCGUACAUCAGUAACGUGAAGUCUGACAACAACGAGACCGGAGACGGCAAUGAAUGGCCUUUCUUGCAAAGACACAAGCACAGAAGACAGAAGGUCUGUCGCCUUCUCAUUGCCAAAUAACCUGUGGGGCAACAUACUGUAAACUCUUUAAACAAAACACAAACAACAAGCCCAAAUCAGUAAUGGAAAUUAGAGCGUGGCGUACAGUACAUGGAGGAUCGCGUUUCGAAUGGUGUCGGUGGGCAAAGAGGGAAAAUCACUUCUGACUUUGUAAAAUACCACAUUUUUGU